rnacentral:lncRNA from 1 species
GCAAAGAUAUUGAGCUAAAGCACAUAGAUACACACACAUAUUUAAGGGUAAAGAUUUUAUUUUUCUAAAAAUGAAGUGUACAGAUGAAGCUCUUUUCCUGGGAAUUUUAUGUGUGAAUUUGAAAAGUCUCUAAAAUGACAUAAAAUAAGAUCAUAUUGGAAAGAGCUAGAAGUCUGGCUCUUAAAGCCUUGAUUUUUUUUUUUUUUUUCGUUCCCCAAAUGAAGUGGCUAAUUACACUGGGAACCAGAGACAGGUGGCUGUGUAUCUUACUUGGUAAAUAAAGAAUGAUGUUAACCUCUUCCAGAAUCCCAGUGGCUAUUGUGUUUGGGCAGAAAAUCCUAUAAAGGAGAAAGCUGCAGAGUGUAAUAAACUCCCAGGUGCUUGAUAAAAAUCCCUGUUCCUCUUAUGCCGGCAGGUCAAGAUCAAGGGUAUUGCUGCUGAGCUGUGGAAGGCUCCUUACUGAUACAAAGGUGAUGAGAUUUCUCCCUUCCUCCUAUCUGUCUGAAUUACUUGUGGACCUGACAGAGAUGGAGACUCUCUUUUGAUAGCAGCUCAGAGACUUUGGAUAUCGUGUUUCCCUUAAGUUAAACCUACCAGCCUUCAUUUGCCAAAUAAUUUCCACUUCUGGGAAGGGUGUGUGGUAAGCCUGACAAGCUUGUGUUCAGUUCUCUGCUGUUAGUGACUUUGAGGCCAUGAGGCUUGGAGCAGGCAGCUCAACCUCUCUGUGCCAUCUUUUCUGUCAACUGCCAUUGGACCAAAGGAAAACCAGCUUUGCAGAGUAUUAUGAAAAUGAAAUGAAAUGAUAAACACGAUGUGCCUGUCAGGUGGUUUUACUCCUUUACUCUAAGACUAAAGCAGGAUUUCUCAGCCUCACCACAAUUGCUAUUUGGGCUGGAUAAUUUUUUGUUGUGGGGGACCAUCCUGUGCAAAGUAGGGUGUUUAGCAGCAUAGCUCACCUCUUUCCACUAGAUGCCAGUUGGAAACCCCUUCCUCCUCACUUGUGAUACCAAAGAUGUUUCCAGACAAAUUUGCAUCUGACCACUGAUGGAAAGGUACUUUGGAAAGCCCAAUGUCAUAUUUGUUCCUUUGAUCAAAAAUGGUGUAGAACAGGAGUUCCUAUUGUGGCCCAGCGAUAAUGAACCUGACUACAAGGCCAGGGAUCGAAUCUGAAACCUCAUGGUUCCUAGUUGGAUUCGUUAACCACUGAGCCACGACAGAAACUCCCUGGGGUCUGUUUUUUUAAGGGUGCUCAUUUUGAUCAUGAGGGUUCUGCCCUCCUGACCAAAUCAUCUCCCAGUAGUUCUCCCUCCUAAUACCAUCAUUUGGGGGUUAGGAUUUUGACAUAAUUAUUUUGGGGGACACACACAGUUAGAACAUAGCAGUCUCCUUGUCUCUGUGAUGGAGAUACCUGCCUCAUAGAUAGCCUCUUGGGAAAGUGUUUAAAAAACUCCACACUGGGGCUGGUAUGCAGAAAUGUUAGCUUUUUUUGAGUUGAAUUUGAAGGGAUUGAAUUGCACUGGGGCUCAAUCUGUAGGUUCUUGGCUAACGUUCUAGAACUUGGCAAGACCCAGGAGUGGGUUGACUUAUCCUGAAACCAGGCGCUUUUUGAAAAUCUUUCAGGCCAGCAAGGUGUCAUCUAAGGAUGCCAGAGAAUUAACUUGUUCCCAGGGAUCUCAAAAUGUCACUAUGGCUUUCAGACAUACCUAAGUUAUUCUUAAGGCCAUUUUUCCUGGGAGGAGUGCUUUUUUUAAUAUUUGUUUAAAUUAUGUUACAGAGCAUGGCAGACCUGUAAUCUGUGUUCAAAGAGGUAUUAUCUGCCCCAUGUUGAUCAGCGUCACAUCUUUUACUUGCUUAUCUCGGCUUCCCAUAUGGUCAAACUCCAAAGCUAGACUUUGAGGAGACCCAUGCACUCAUUAACCUCUUUGACAUGAAAUAGAAACUUUCUGGGGACCGGCUAUGGGAAGCAGAGUGUUUAAAUCUCUUUCAGCCCCACUGCGUGUUCCUGAGGCCCAGUCAGAGGCAGUAGCCUCAGUGCAAAUCCUCACAACGUGCAGGAAUUUGUCACGUCGAGUUUCUGCUGUCAUUUAAAAAUCAUUGCUUAGUUUUCGUAGUAAUAAUGAAGUAGAACCACAGAAAAUACCCCUCCUUGACAUUUUUCAUUCAUAUUUUGGUGGUUGAAAUCCCAGCCCUCUGUAGGCUUGUUUGAACUUUGGGGAGAUGUGAAGCAGAAACACUGUAAAAGUGGAAGAAUCAGCCAGGUGAGGCAGUGCUGUGGCUGGCUUCAUUUGAGAACAUGGUGGUCUCCAGGUUGAAGUGGAAUCUCAGAUGGAUGAAAAAAAACAAUACAGGAUUUUUCCCAGUGGCGUGAUUAUUAUGUGUAAGGUCUUAGGAUUUCCUUUGACAUGGAAUGAAUGCGUUACAGAGAAAGCUUUCUUAAAUUACUUUAUAUUUUGGAGUCUAAAAGUUUUAAGUUGUUUGAAUCCAUAAAGCAAAAAUGGUCCCUGCACCUAAAGCCAGUUCUUUGUGCUUUCUCAAAGGCGCUGAAGUUUCUGUAGAUCAACAGCUUGGCCCAGUUUCUUUCUGAAACUCUGGUUUAGAGGGUUUGUUUGUUUGUUUGUUUGUUUGUUUGUUUUUUAGUAAAUAACCAAGAACCUGAAUGGUCCCAUAGGAUGAAAUACUAGAUUGAGAUUUUACAAAGUUGCUCUCUCAUUGUGAUAUUUCAGCCUGCACAGUGAGGGUGUAACUCAGGACAGAUGUUACUGUAAUUCAGUGUUAUUACUGAAUGCAAACACGACAUUAGGUACCAGACUGAGUAGAAAACAUAACCUUACAUGAUCUUCUUAAAUACGAAACUCUGAAUAAUGCUUGAUGGGAUGGGAAAUGUUGACCUGAAUAGAAGAUCUGGAUGCUGAUUCCUAUCGUUCCCCAUUCAGGGUCGGAUUUUACUAUUACCUAAUGUAGUAAAAGCCAGAGUGGAAUCUACAAAUACUCGAUUUUUAUCGGGGGACGGGGAUUAGAGGGAGAAGAUUCCUCAUUUCUCCAAAAAGUUAGAUUGAUGUGCUGCCUGAGACUGUUUGUUUGGCAAAUGUUUUUGGACACCUGUUCUUUGAAUUGGCUGAAAAUGAAUUUAAAAUAGUUUUAUCUUGACCUUUCCUUUUCUGCAGUUUUUCUAUCACCUUAUGAGGUAGCUGGAGAAGUCCUGGAAUGUCUUUCAAACCCUAGAUGGGAAUUACUGUUUAGAAGUUGCCAGCUAGUGUCACUAGGUGCUAAUUCCCCUCUGCGUGCAUGUCACGGUUACAGUCUGCUUUUUUUGCCUCUAAAAGAACAAUUAUAUUCAAGAAAUUUCCUAGUGUGUUUAAAAACAGCUGGGUGAAAGUCAUUUUAAAUCCCCAAAUCCAACACAUUAGUUCUUUUAUGCAUUUAAUUAAGCAGAAGUUAAAAUAAAUUAGAAGAGAAGACAUUCAGUGCUGAUUGUUGAAUCAACAAAGCAAGAAACAGCCUAGCAUUACUCCACCGCAGAUGUCUGUCACUCAGCACUGUUGCCCUAUAAAUUUGCAUCAGCUCUUAACAAUUUUUGGAGUUCCCAUUGUGGCUCAACAGAAAUGAAUCUGACUAGUAUCCCUGAGGAUGCUGGUUUGAUCCCUGGCCUAAUUCAGUAGGUCAGAGAUCUGGCGUUGCCGUGAGCUGUGGUGUAGGUCGAGGACACAGCUCAGAUCCCGAGUUGCUGUGGCUGUGGUGUAGGCCUGCAGCUGCAGCUCCCAUUCAACCCCUAACCUGGGAACUUCCAUGUGCUAUGGGUGUGGCCCUAAAAAGCCACCAAAAAAAAAAAAAAAAGAAAAAGAAAAAA